GUAAGUCAGUUUGCAGAGAUCCCUCCCACCCUGGCUUUUAUGUGCUAGAUUUCUUAUCUGAAACAGUAAUAUUUCAGUGACUGCUGCUUAUACCACAGGUUAAUACACUCUACUGAUCCCUGAUGGGAGAAUCAUCAAUUUUGGCAACAAAGAAGCCUGGUGGAUGUUUGUUUACAGUCUGAUGAUGGGACAUCAUGCUCUGCAUCUUCAAAGUUUGCCUCCUCAUUAUUAUUCAUACCCAUCUUUUCGCAGGAUCAGAAAACAAAACCAGGAGGCGCGUAAAUGUUUCUUCUCCAUGAUGUUUCUUCAAAUGUUUCUUCUGGAUGAUGAUAAGACUGUGACACGGGAUGCCACCUUUGGUCUUGUGAUGAAGCAAAGGUCAGGAAGAAGUGGGAUUAACUGGUACCCACAUCUGAGAAGGAUGUACAGGGGCACCUGCAGCCAAAUCCAAGCUUCAGAGCAGAGCGGCAGUUUGUGCUCACAGAUGGUGACGGUGUGGAGAGACGGUGGUGUUUCCUCAGAAGAACCAGCAGAGUCACUUGCUGACUGAUGUUCGUCUGCACUGCACAGAGGAAAUCAACUGACCGAGGAAUGGAGAAAUAGAAUCAAAGGGAGAUGUUUUUGCUGUUUUUGUAAUGAUAUGGGCAGCAUAUCAGUCUUGGACUGUGUAACCUGCCGGAGCAGCACUGAAUGACCACCACACAUGAGCAUGUUCCUGCAACAUUCAGCAUCUGAUCCUUCAUCUGUGUGCUUCUGCUUUUGUGUCACAUGUCAAACAGCUGGAGAGGAAACUACACCAGUGUACUGGGAUGUUUCACCAACACACCAGAUGCUGUUCCUUCAUGGUGACAUCACCAGAGACAGCCCCGCCCACCUCAGGACCUCGCCAUUGAUCAUGAUGAUUAUAAUGAUGACAGCGAGCGGAACUAAGACUGUAAAAAUCCACGACCAGAAUGUUUCUUUCUAAUUAUGAAUGAAUACUGAGAGCCUCUUUCUGUGUUUUGUCUGUUUUGGGGUUGUUUUUUUUACCUCAUUUGUUACUAACAAAGUUCACAAACUCACACAGUUUACAUUCUGUAUGUUUCCAUCUUUACCAGCCACACUAACUGCAUUUAAGAAAAUAAUCCUUAGAAAUCGUCGUUUUUCUCUUUUGUAAUUGAUGAUAAUUCAGUGAAUAUACUGCGCUGCUUCCUUUUAUUGCGUCACACAUUGCUUUAAGUUUUUCAGUGUCCAGUUAUUUUUUACUGCUGUUUGAAUUCUCUGUAUGUUUGACCCUGUAGACUGUUUGAUGGACUGCUUGUCUUCCUGUUUGUUACCGCCGCCUGUUUUUUAAUAAAGAUUUGGAUUUCUGACUUCAAC
ensembl:lncRNA